GACGAACGCUGGCGGCGUGCUUAACACAUGCAAGUCGAACGGAGAGGCCCUGCUUUUGUGGGGUGCUCGAGUGGCGAACGGGUGAGUAACACGUGAGUAACCUGCCCUUGACUUUGGGAUAACUUCAGGAAACUGGGGCUAAUACCUAAGAGGUGCUCCUGCUGCUUGGUGGGGGUUGGAAAGUUUCGUCGGUUGGGGCUGGACUCGGGGGUUAUCAGCUUGUUGGUGGGGUAGUGGCUUACCAAGGGUUUGACGGGUAGCCGGCCUGAGAGGGUGACCAGGCACAUUGGGACUGCGAUACGGACCAGUCUGGUACGGGAGGCAGCAGUGGGGAGUAUUGCACAACGGGCGGGAGCGUGAUGAAGAAACGCUGCGUUCGGGAAGACGGCCUGCGGGUUGUAAACCGCUUUAGACUGUGACGAAGCGUGAGUGACGGUAAUGGGUAAAGAAGCACCGGCUAACUACGUG
rnacentral:rRNA from 1 species